CAUUUUUGAUAAAUUUGAAGAAACCCUAACCCUAACCCUAGGAGUGCGGUGGCAGUGUCACUACAAAUAGAAGGCGAAUGGAGUUGGAGAGAUGAUAAGCAGCGGGUGGCUGAGCCCCACUACCAAAGCUCACUAACUCUCUUUUGAUGAUGAUUGGUCUCAGGGUUUCCGAAACUUCAACUGAGUCAUAUUUGGUUAGUGUUGUUCUUAGUUGAUGAGAGGAUGAUAAUGCAGCGAUGAUAAGAAAUUCACAAUGUUGUGGAUUGAGGACAACCUAUGAUUCCGUUUCAAGCACUGUUGAGCUGCUCUGUCUCUCACACCCCUGUUCUCGCUUCAUUAUUUUCUUCUCAAUGUUCAGUAAUAUGCUUACAAUAGAAAAACAAUCAAUUUUGGCUGCAGAAGGAAGAGAACCAUGAUUUUUGCCAACAGGGGUUAUAAACAACCAAUAAUUGAAUUUGCUUUAUAUUCUCUUCUACUUCUUUUUACCAUUUUUGUUCUAUGAUAAAAGAAAUCUAAAACAUCACCCACCUAUUGUAGAUCAAAAAAUGGACUCUACAUUGUUAGAUAUGAAAAGGGGUUAAGAUAGUCAGCUCAAAAGCAGCUGACAAGCUUUAUCCAUAUGGCAACGUCAAAUGAUGGUUAACAGUAUGGAAAACUAUGGUGGUUUUGGUAUUAAUUGUUGGCAUAUUCAAGCAUUGUGUAGAUGUAAACUCAAUGAUGAGCAGGAAGAUUAAUAAGGAAGGAGAGAUUUUUUUCAGGUGGAAAGGGCAAAACGUACUCAAUGUUGUGAUGGAUGUGGCGGCUAUGAGCACAAUAGAAAACGGGCAAACAACCAAUAGAGAUGUCUUUAUAUUUAGGUGGAACUUUUUUUUUGGUUGGAUGAUUUGGUUAUGUGUCUACCUUUUUUUGGUUUUUUUUUUUUUUUUUAAUUGUUAAAACAAUUUUGUUGAAUUCAAACUUGCUUCAUUCAAUUGGAACUCAAGCGA